AUUGAACGCUGGCGGCAGGCUUAACACAUGCAAGUCGAACGGAGUGGCGGACGGGUGAGUAAUGCCUAGGAAUCUUCCUGGUAGUGGGGGAUAACCUCCGGAAACGGGCGCUAAUACCGCCUACUAUCAGAUUAGCCUAGGUGGGAUUAGCUAGUUGGUGGGGUAAAGGCCGACCAAGGCGACGAUCCGUAACUGGUCUGAGAGGAUGAUCAGUCACACUGGAACUGAGACACGGUCCAGACUCCUACGGGAGGCAGCAGUGGGGAAUAUUGGACAAUGGGCGAAAGCCUGAUGCAGCCAUGCCGCGUGUGUGAAGAAGGUCUUCGGAUUGUAAAGCACUUUAAGUUGGGAGGCGUUACCAACAGAAGAAGCACCGGCUAACUUCGUGCCAGCAGCCGCGGUAAUUC
rnacentral:rRNA from 1 species